UGGGGAAUAUUGGACAAUGGGCGAAAGCCUGAUCCAGCCAUGCCGCGUGUGUGAAGAAGGUCUUCGGAUUGUAAAGCACUUUAAGUUGGGAGGAAGGGCAGUAAGCGAAUACCUUGCUGUUUUGACGUUACCGACAGAAUAAGCACCGGCUAACUCUGUGCCAGCAGCCGCGGUAAUACAGAGGGUGCAAGCGUUAAUCGGAAUUACUGGGCGUAAAGCGCGCGUAGGUGGUUCGUUAAGUUGAAUGUGAAAGCCCCGGGCUCAACCUGGGAACUGCAUCCAAAACUGGCGAGCUAGAGGAGGGCAGAGGGUGGUGGAAUUUCCUGUGUAGCGGUGAAAAGCGUAGAUAUAGGAAGGAACACCAGUGGCGAAGGCGACCACCUGGGCUCAUACUGACACUGAGGUGCGAAAGCGUGGGGAGCAAACAGG
rnacentral:rRNA from 1 species